rnacentral:rRNA from 1 species
AACGAACGCUGGCGGCAGGCCUAACACAUGCAAGUCGAGCGCCCCGCAAGGGGAGCGGCGGACGGGUGAGUAACGCGUGGGAACGUACCCUUUGCUACGGAAUAGCCUCGGGAAACUGGGAGUAAUACCGUAUGUGCCCUUCGGGGGAAAGAUUUAUCGGCAAAGGAUCGGCCCGCGUUGGAUUAGGUAGUUGGUGGGGUAAUGGCCUACCAAGCCGACGAUCCAUAGCUGGUUUGAGAGGAUGAUCAGCCACACUGGGACUGAGACACGGCCCAGACUCCUACGGGAGGCAGCAGUGGGGAAUCUUAGACAAUGGGCGCAAGCCUGAUCUAGCCAUGCCGCGUGAGCGAUGAAGGCCUUAGGGUUGUAAAGCUCUUUCAGUGGGGAAGAUAAAUGACUGUACCCACAGAAGAAGCCCGGCUAACUCCGUG